AACGAUGAAUCCCAGGUACUCGACGCA
rnacentral:piRNA from 1 species